rnacentral:rRNA from 1 species
UAAGUAGGGGGCAAGGGUUGUUCGGAUUUACUGGGCGUAAAGGGCGCGUAGGCGGCGCGUAAAGUCGGACAUGAAAUCAUUAGGCUCAACCUAAUGGCUGUGUCCGAUACUUACGCGCUUGGAGUGCGGGAGAGGCAGCCGGAAUUCUCGGUGUAGCGGUGAAAUGCGUAGAUAUCGAGAGGAACACCGGUGACGAAGGUGGGUUGCUGGACCGACACUGACGCUGAGGCGCGAAAGCUAGGGGAGAAAACGGG